AAAAAGGGCUUCUGUCAUGAGAGGCACACGUAGGACAGUUUGAUUGAUCUACGUACGGAAUUGACAUCAACAGAUUUCAAAAGCAUAAUUUUUUGAUACCUGGGCAGCUAGUGAUCGUUGGUUCUCACACCUAC